rnacentral:rRNA from 1 species
AAGAAGCGUGAGUUUCGCAACCUACGCCAAGGAGGACGCACCGUAGGCCAGUAUGUGGAGGAAUUCAGUAAGUUAGCACGUUAUGCACCAGAUGACGUUGCUACAGAUGCUGCCAAGCAGGAGAAGUUUCUGGAAGGAUUGAAUGAUGAGCUGAGUAUGCAGUUGAUGGUAGCAACUUUCAACAACUACCAGGAGCUGGUAGAUAGAGCUCUCAUGAUUGAAGGGAAGCAACAUCAGAUUGAAAACCGCAAGAGGAAGUAUGGACAAGGGAAGUACAAUUCUGGAGCCCAGCAGAAGCCACGAUUUACC